ACUUUUUGUUUGCUUUUUGUAUUUCAUAAUGAGAGGUCAGAUUUCGGUUUUAAGCUUUAUUCAAAUACAGUAGAAAUUUUAGCAGAGAAAUGGGGGUCUGUUGGGUGUUUUCUUUGUGAUUGCAAUUCACCUGACAGGUAGCAGAGGGUCAUAAAAUUCCCAAAGCCCUCCUUUAUGGCACACAGUUAUUGUUUUUCAUCAUCUCAACAUGGUGUCAGUGUUUGGUGUACUGCAAAGAAUGCAAAAACAUCUCAGUACUCAAAACCCAAUCAUAUCUGAGACAUCUAGGUGAUGUGCCUAAAAUCCACAGGGCUUUAAUCUGGAGCAGGAAUUGCAUAUCACAGCAUUUCUGAGUCCCAAUCCACCUACUAUCCAUCCUAAAUAGUAUCUGAGAUUAGAAUUGUCCCAAAUGGUAGUAUGUUGAAAUCAGUAUCCCAAAGGUACCCGGAUGGUCUACUAUUUCUGGUAGAUUUUCAAAGUGUGGCUCCAUGGACACUGUUUCAGCUAAUAUCCCCCACAAUUCCUUGCAUGAAGGAGGAGUUUUGUGACUGUUUACUUUGCCGAAUUCUACCUGCAAACAUGGUGUUGAAACAAUGAAAUGUGGAAAAAUAAAUCAAGGGAAUGAUAAAUGAAAUUAUAUAGUAUAAAUUAUAUAAAUAAUAAUGAAUGAAGAAAAUCUGAAAUGUAAACAGGAGUUUGUUUACAGUGACAGUGUGUGUAACUAGGCAACAACGUUCUAUUCCUUUACAUGACGUGUUAGUCUGUCCCAGAACUUGCAUACUCUUUUGCUAUACAUUCAAAUGUAUGUACCUUUUCUCCACAAAAAGAGCACAUACUUUUAGUGCAUAGUAUGAGUAGGCGAAUUGGGAUGCAGCACAUGACACAGCUCAAAAAGUCAAAAGGAUUUAACUGGACAUAAUUGCAUGUUUUGUUUUGUUUUCCAAACUAUAACUGAAGCAGAGUCAAUCAUCCAAAUAGUAAUCGUUUACCAUUCGCUAAUGUUGCUUUUUACCAUGUACGCCGUAUCUUUAAGACUUCAAAAUUUGAGUUAGGUUGAGAUACUACUUUAUCUGAGAUGUUAACAGGAGGCUAGGUGCAUGUUUAUGAAAACAUCUCCAAAGACUUGUACAAGGGAAGGACAGAUGAGGUAAAACUGAAUAGUCCACUAGGCGUGACAAUAAGUUGACUUACAAAAAUGUAAGAGGAAAAAAAAAAGUUAUUCUUUGCUCAAAGGGUGGUUAAAACUAUUCUUCUAAAAAAAAAAAAAAAAUACCACACACAUAAUGAUGUGGUCACUUCCUAGUCUUAAGUUAUUGUAAUGCAUACUGCGACUAGAAAAGCACACUGAUGUCCAUCUCCCCAAAUGCAAUUCUGUCAAUACAGUAGAGUGUCAUAAAAUUGCUAUGUUCAAUCAAUAGCUCUGUUUAAACCAACAAACUCAAUUCCUCCGCACAUUACUUUGUCAUUAGAGUCGCUCGAGAACAAUGUUUGGCAGACUUCUUGAGCAAGCCCGACCUGGGAAACCAACAUCUGGAGUACUUGAUCUCUCAGAGGGCCUGCAUGUUUCUGACACAUGUCCACAUGCUGACAGUAAUACAGGGGUAGAUUUAUGCUGCUGCAAUGACCGGCUCUGGCUCUGGGCCCUCUCACAUGCAGAGUUUUUGCUAUCUCAAAGGCAAUAUCUUUCAUGCUUUGAUCCCCAUCCUAAAUCUGUCUGGCACAUUUACUGCAGGGUAUAACGCAGGAUUGGAGUCAGGGGUCGCUGAGUCUGUGUUACAGGAGUCUGAUCACUUGCACUUUCGGCUUUAUGGAAGACUGAUCUAUGACCUGAUAUACAGUAUAUUAAUGUAUGUUAUAAAAAAAUAAAAAUGUGAUUUUGGAUCACAACAGAGACAGCGAAUAAAACCUUUUGGCCUACAUCCUACCAACCUCAGGAUGCUCGAUUCUUUGUGAAACAGCAUCCUGUAUAAAUAACAUUGCUGCAUGUUCGACAGCGCACACUGUACAUUUCACUUACAGUGUAGGUUCUGCGAGGCUUCACACUCUUACAGGUCUUCCUUAUGUAUGAUGUGUACAGUUUGGGGUGGGAGGCAGUUUGGCACGUCUACCCACAUGUACAUGAAUCAUUCUCCAUGCAUUACAUAAAGAAUAAACCACUGCAAGCGUUGCCCAUCCAUCAUUUUCUGUGCUGCUUAUCUUACACAGGCAGGGUCCCAGGGAGCCUGGAGCAUACCCCAGGGAACUUGGGGCACAAGGCGGUGGAUACUCUGGAUGGGGUGCCAUGUCUUUGGACUGGGGAGGAAACUGGAGUAAACCCCUGAAGCACAGGGAGAACAUGCAAGCUCUGCACACACAGGGCAGUUUUUUAUUUAUUGAAGAAUGACCCACAGUUCUUAUCUGUUUAUAGUUACAUUUACUGUUGUGGAACAUACAGCUUUAAACAGUCACCUCCUCUUUAGCCUCUUUUUUUUUUUAACUUAAAGUUAAUAAGUUGCCUUGUUUUUGACAACCACAAAAAAUAUGUUUAUGUGCUGUGUCUGCCAUACUAGUACCUGUGAAGUAGCUGCUGUUAUAGAACAUUAAUCAACACCUUCUGAACAACCAGAUCAGGAAUUCAUCAGCACUCAGGACAUAUCUUCUAACAGGUUAAAUAAAGGUGUUCUGGUACAGAAUCAGAAUCGAGUUCUCUUCCUGUGAGAAAUCUGUGUUUACUGUCUCUAGGACUUCUGACCUAUGCUUUUUGAAUGUUUUGCAUUUCUCAACUUUCCCAAUUGUUUCCAUGUGAUGUCAGGACUGCCGUGGACUAAUCCAUCUAUGAAACAGGCCCACAUUUUGACCCCAGCUGAAGUCAAAAUCAUGUUAAAUAUUCCUCAAGUGUCAAAACUAUGUUAAAUAUAUAAAAAUAUAUCUCUAUUUUUUUUUUUUUCAUGCAUGACUGUCUUGAAAGCAUACACUGCAUACCAGCGGUCACCAACCCUGCUCCUGGAGAUCUACCUUCCUGAAGACUUUAGCUCCAACCAUAAUCGUGCUUAAGACUUAAGGAAAUGAUUAGAUGGUCAGGUGGGUGCAAUUAUGGUUGGAGCUAAAGUCUUCAGUAAGGUAGAUCUCCAGGAACAGGGUUGGCGACCACUGCUGUACACCAACACACCAGUUAGGCCGGUAUAUAGGUGAUCAUGUUGUCUCUGUCUCCACCUGCUGGCCAAAGCACAACACAUACUAAAUACUCACUCCCUCACUUUCAGUACUGCUUUAUCCUGAUCAGGGUUCUGGAGGAUCCCUGGAACAAUAAGCGUGAGGUGGGAAUACACCAGGAUGGGACGCGAUGUAGGAGGAACCCAGAAGAGCCGGAGGAAACACACACAGACACAGGAAGAAGUCACCCAAACUCAGGAUCGAACCCAUUACUCUGAAGCCGUGAGAAUUUCAAGACUGAUCAUCACUCUGAUUGCCACUGUGAAGCAUGGUGUCGGUGGCAUAACGUUCCCUGUGCAGGGAUUGGAAAACUGCUCAGCGCUGAAGGCAGGAUGGAUGGAGCCAAAUACAGGGCAAUCCUAGA